UUUUAUUCAUGUUACAACAAUGAAUUUUAUUCCUUGAUUUUUUUUAAAAUCUAUUUUUAAGUCUCCUUCCAGAAUUGGACUUCACUGCCAACAAAAGAUUUUAGUUUAAUCAGGUUGGUUAUCAUCCACUGCCUGAUCCUGAAUUUCAGUCCUAAACUGCCUGGCUGAAUGUCUUGAUGCUGACACAGAUUAAUACCAGAAAGCAAAACACCAGAUGAUACUCUUCUGGGUUGCAUCAGCUGGUUAGUAAUAGUCAUUGUGAAAUAACAGCUUCCAGCACAUGGGGUCACUUGAGGUAAGUCUCUGAUUUUAGUUUGGGAUAGCGGAAGUAAAGAAAGGGAUAUGACCCAUAGGUUUCGGUGGAGCAGAGAGAACAUAAGCCAUCUAAGGAUGUCCCCAAAUUUGCUUCCUUCCUUUAAGGGAGACAGGCUGCUGUGCCUUUUCUUUGUACUUACAGGAUGUGUGCCACAGGUUUUCUGUGUGUUAGUUCUGAUCUGUUCAUAAAGCACAAAAUCAGAAGCAGCACUUAACCUGAUUUCCAUCAGUGUACCAUUUUGUCCUUUAAGAUAUGAGCACGUCAGUAAGGCUGCAGGUGUCUUAAGAUUCCUUCAAACAUAAAAGCAUGCUAGGUAUCCAAGGAAUAUCAUGCUGUCCUGGGUAAGACUGCUAUGGUAGAUGGUCUGUCCAAAACUUUUGGUGAUUUCUGUUCCCUUGUUAUUGAAACACCUAAAGCCUGUGUGGUGUGUCAGCUUUGAUCUGGGGGUGGGCCAAGCGCUGUGUCAGGGGGGGCCAUAAUGCAUAUUAAGUCCUAUCCUUCCUAGUGGUGGGUUUCUCUUGUAUGCAAGAAACUGGGUGCUACUGCACCAAAUGUCUUUUAACAGUGCUGAAGUAAUUACUGUAACCAGAGGUUUGUAGAACUGGAAUAUAACACUAUCCCCUGAUGCAUCUUCUUCAUAGUGUUGAUAGCUACAGCAACAAGAGUCUUUCCAAUACUUGCAGUUUAGGCUGUGAGGAUUUAAGGAGGACAGCAACUAUCUGCAGUGUCAGGGUUUGUUUUUUUUGGCCUUCAGCACUUAGCGCAGAUGCUCUGAGCCCUAGUUUGGGAGCUUAGUACCUGAAUGGGGUUAAAUGGCACACUACAAGAGUGAGUGGGGAAGAGAGAAAAAGCAAGAUAUGGUGAAAGCUCCCCAUGUUGUGGGGAUAAUAGUGGUGAAGGAGGGGAAAUAAACACCUGCUGGACUUUCUGCUAUUGGCUGACUUGUGUACAUACUUAUCUAAACAUUCAAUUGUGUGGACAAGACACUGCAAUAAUUUCAGCUUUGGGUGUGCUGAUUGCAGCUUCAUCCAAGCAUUCCUUUCUCGAGAAGAAAGGCCAGUGCUGCUUAGAGCGCCUGCUUUGUCUUCAGGUUUCAGGUUAGGUAUGAAGAUGGUGUUACCAUUCUAGGUCAGUGAAGUACUUCAUCUUUCUUUUUCAUUUUAGUACUCCCUUACUUCACAUACACCUUGGAGUCACUGGGAAGUAGCAGGUACAAGGUGGUGGUAGCUUUUGUGGAGUUCAUUGUUUUACAUCGAGUUAUACCAUUAGCUGCACUAGCACAAAUAAUAUUUGUUAUCUAUAGUCAAGUCAGAAAUAUGUCAUCUCUUCUCAUUUGAUUAAUAGUGGUGCAAAACUUACUGUGGCUUGACAUAUACAUAUAAACUUCGUAUUUCAGCUCACAAGUGAAAAGGGCUGAUAGUGGCAGGUCUUUCCUCAAGGCAAAGCUAGCAACUCAGCCCUCUUCUUGAGGUACAGAAUUGACUUGGAGUUGCCUUCCUUCAAAUAUAAUUAAUGAUUCCCACAUAGGAACAUCAUUUUAGGAAGGGCUGCAAGCUACAACUAAAAGUAAACAUUAUUAUAUUGAGAAAUAAAAUAUAAAUUGAUGUCAGUAUGGCUGUGAUAGGGAGGAGUUAUAAUUUCUGACUCUGUUCUUAGAGUGAAUGAUCAUGCAGACAAAGGAGGUCUGGAUGAUAUACUUUGUUUUAUAAGAUGAUAUUUGGAAAGUUCUUUGGCAGGGAGUCUUAGCUCGUGCUGUCCUAGUCACUGUAGGAAGAAUAUCAGGAUUAAUAACUGAGCAUUUAUUCUUGGUUCUGUUUCUUAUCUUCAGUUUUCACAAUAGAGAGAAGUUGCUAGCAAUGUCAUCCAUGGGUUUGUGCUGCUGGAUCUGGAGAAGGGAGUGAAUAGAAAGGUGAAUAAUGUCUGGAAUAUUCAGUUGCUCAGGAUUAUGCAACCCAAGGUUGACUGUAAAAUGUGGGAUAGCACUUACUGAAAAGCAUCUCCAUCUAUACAAGUGCAAUGCCCUUUAAAAUAGCUGUUUCCUAUAAGAAAAAGCUUGGAAUCAUUCUGGUUAGUGCUCACAUAACAGCAGGAACAGUUAAAAAAACAAAUGGUGUUGGGAACUGAAGUCAAAAUCACAACCUUCUGUUGCUCUAUAAAACCCCCAUGUGUCCCUGCUACCAGCAUCCCAUGUAGCUUUGGUCAUCUCUGAAGGGACAUAAAAUCCCUGAAAAGUCACAGAGCAGGACAAAAGGUGGCCAGAAGUACAGUGCAAUUUUCAUGUUGUGAGUAAACACCUGGGUUGUUUCAGUUGAGUAGAAGAGAUGGCAAAGGAAGAUCCGAUACUCUUUGUCAAAUUAAAAAUGUUAUGGCAAAGGAGAACAGGGAAUGGUGAUUCACCCGUUACUAAAACAAAUCAGAGGGGACUGGCAGACAUGAAACAGCAAAUCAAAACUAAAGGCAAUGUAGUUAUCCUAAUCAAAUAGUGAAACUUGCUGAUCAAAAGCAUAUCAACAGGUUCAAAAGUCAGUGUUUCUGACCAGACCAGCUGCACUGAUAGUAGUUCCAUGCAACCCAGCCUCUGCCUUAGGCACUCCCAGAACAGCUGAGGAGCUGCGGGAGGACUAAGGAUGUACUCCACUGAACUGCCUUCCCCAAGCAUGGCCUGCCAGCCUGCAUCAGGUACCGCUGCUGUGAGGUUUUUUCCCUUGUACACACGCAGUGAGCUAGUCUGAGUUUUGUAAUAAAGGAGAUGAAAUGGGCACCUUGUGUUAACCCCUCUGCUGUACCUGCACAGACCCCGGGCUGGGGAGUUGGGGGUCUAGUGCAGAAGCUGCUCGUUAGCACUGUGCAGAGCAGCAAUGCACGGGGGGCUUUGCCUGUCCUCUGAGGUGGCAUGAGGUGGAGCCUAGGCAGAAUGCUCAUUCCAGUGUGAGGUACUGGUGGACAGUUUUAUUUAUCUUAUGUUAUCUUAUCAUGCAUUUUACACCAAAACCACACUAGCUGCAUACAAAUUGAGGUAUCUGUUACUGUAGUGACCAGUUAGCACUGGGAUUAUUUUUCAUCUUAAUGAAAAAAGGCACUUAGACCUCAGGAUAAAUAUUUCCUUCACACCUUGCCCUUUUUCCAUAAGAACACUGAAGAAAUGGUCACUUCUUGGUCGCUUAUGAAAUCACUGGUGAGGCUUCUGCUCACAGUGUGACCACCUUUGAGCAGGCACUGUUUUCCCAGUGACACAAUCUGAGGGCUUUGCUGUACUUUUCAAGCAGUAUAUCACUUCUUUUAUGUUUUGAUGGCAGUAUGAUCCAUAGAGUCAGCAAGUCUGAGCAUGAAAUAUUACAGCUCCAGUUAAAGGAGGUGAAACCCAUCUCAGGCUAUUCUUGUCUCAUUUCCUUAUGAAUAGCUGGAAACAGUGUCUCCAGUCAUUCAGAGUUGCUGCAUUUUGACUGUACUCGUCCAUCCUCGUCAACAAUGUGAUUUUUUUUUUAAAAGACUGGAACUUGUUUUAAGAAGAAGUAGUUCUUUAACCUUUCCAGAGGAAAAGUUUGGCUGAACUGCACAGGUGUUCUCCACUUGGGAGUGUGACUUUAGUAGUUCACUAUCCUACCAUGUAUGCAGUGCAUGUGCUUGCUGACAGGGCAGUGCAGGUACCACUGCUUUCAGUGGGAAGAACUUGCCCCCUGCACUAAAGUUCAUCCUGCAGUCUAGAAGGGAACCUCUGCACUGAAUCUGCAAGCGAGAAGCAUAUCAGGUUUUACAGUAAUGGGUAGGUUUUAGCAUAUGUGGGAAGACGUAAAAGCUUGUAAUCAGGUAAGUUACAAAGCUCAGAACUGUUAUUUAAUGAGAAAGGGACUCUUCUUCAACAUUACCAAGUGUGUUAACUUGGAAAACUGAGAUCUAAGAAAAUUACAGCUAUUUCCUGCAGUAAAAAAAACCUACAGAAACCCUUUGUUCAGGAGGCCCAAGAAUUGAUGCUCUUAAUGCUACUAGUUUUCAACAUUGUUGUUGCUGUUCAAUCCAAAUAAACCAUUCUUUUGCUUUUGCAA